rnacentral:rRNA from 1 species
UGGGGAAUUUUGGACAAUGGGCGAAAGCCUGAUCCAGCAAUGCCGCGUGUGUGAAGAAGGCCUUCGGGUUGUAAAGCACUUUUGUCCGGAAAGAAAUCCUUGGCUCUAAUACAGUCGGGGGAUGACGGUACCGGAAGAAUAAGCACCGGCUAACUACGUGCCAGCAGCCGCGGUAAUACGUAGGGUGCAAGCGUUAAUCGGAAUUACUGGGCGUAAAGCGUGCGCAGGCGGUUUGCUAAGACCGAUGUGAAAUCCCCGGGCUCAGCCUGGGAACUGCAUUGGUGACUGGCAGGCUAGAGUAUGGCAGAGGGGGGUAGAAUUCCACGUGUAGCAGUGAAAUGCGUAGAGAUGUGGAGGAAUACCGAUGGCGAAGGCAGCCCCCUGGGCCAAUACUGACGCUCAUGCACGAAAGCGUGGGGAGCAAACAGGAUUAGAUACCCUGGUAGUCCACGCCCUAAACGAUGUCAACUAGUUGUUGGGGAUUCAUUUCCUUAGUAACGUAGCUAACGCGUGAAGUUGACCGCCUGGGGGAGUACGGUCGCAAGAUUAAAACUCAAAUGAAUUGACGGGGUCAUAGCUGUUUCC